UCUUCCCGGGGAUUGGCUGUCCCUCCGGCGGUGCCCCGCCCCCGCCCCCGCCCAGGAUUUUCCGGGGAUUUGAAAUGCGCUUCUCAGCCCUAAAGCGUUCCUCCAUGCGGGUUUCCGCCAUGCGCUUGCCUUCUGGUCUGCUGGCCAGGCGGGGGUCGGCCACUUUGUCCCGCCGAGCUAUUGCGUGACGCGCCGCUACUCUGUGCAACGGGUUUCGGGCGGGCCACGCGUGCGGCGACAGGAACCCAACCCCGGCCGACCUUGGGCUCCAGGAAUUCGUCUCCUACGUCUCGGGAGGUGCGGCGGACUCACUUCGAAGUGCAGGUGACCAAAUAUAUCUCAAAGUUUUUAGAAGAAACCACCUAUACAGCCAUCAAAAUAAAAUUCCUGAAUUCAUACAAGCCACAGCAAGCUAGAUCAGGAUCAUCAUAUGACAACUGGAAGUCCAUGCCUACGGGUUAUCUCAAAUUGAGGACUUUCAGCACCUACUCACAGGCUCCAUGAGCAGAUGAAGUAGACAGCUUUACACAGUAUCUCAGACCAAGACCUUCAUCUCCAUCUCCAGCUAGCUGAAACAUCUCCCCUUCUCGACCUGGAAAAUUCUCUGACUUAGAAAUUUAAACAAAACUCUCCCCUUUCAUUUAAUCUCCGUCGUCUGGAGUUUGUUUGUCUUGCCCUGACCUCU
rnacentral:lncRNA from 13 species